rnacentral:misc_RNA from 1 species
GGCCAUUUCUAUUAGGCUUAAAUAUUCCUCAACUAGAUAGAGAAUUAUUUCCAUUUUAGUUUAUAACUUUUAUUUUAGUGUUAUUCUUAUUUGAAUAAGAUUCCUACUAAUAUUAAGAUUAAAGGUACUAACACUAUAAAUAUGAGUAUUGUGGAAGAUAUUAUUUAGCUUUGACCCGUGUGUAGUAAAAUGACAUAAAGUUUAAGAGGAAGAAACUCUUGUCAUUGCAUCCCAUGGAGGAAUUGUGGUUAUAAAGUUAAAGUAAUACAUCUAUUAGUUAUGUAUAGAAGAGAAUAAUAGGGAUAAACCAAUAUACUUAUUAUAAGCAGUUAGUAGUGUGAUAUAUGUUGAAUAUAAUGAGAUUUAUGAAAAUUGAGUAAAGUUUUGAGCUUAAUGAUGUAUUUUGUUUGGAUUAUUGAUCGUAAAAAAUAACAUAUCUAUGAAAAUAGCCAUAUAUUAAAGGAUGAACCAUGUAAAUGGUUUCAUUUCAUUUAAAAUGAACUUUAUUCAUUAUUAGAAGAUGCCAAACAAAACAAUUGUUAAUUUACAAAUAAAUUAUAAAAUUUGUUUAUAAACAAAAGCAAUUUUUGGUUCUAAAAGACAAUAAUAAACCAACAGCUACAUGCAUGAUAUUUUCUGCUUAUUUUGAGUGAAUUCCCAUUUACCUUUUAUUCAUAUUUUGUUUUUCUCAUGAAAAGCACAAUUAUAUGGACAAUAACUUGAAAAAGC